rnacentral:rRNA from 1 species
CCAGGUCUUGACAUCCCGAUGCUAUUUCUAGAGAUAGAAAGUUACUUCGGUACAUCGGUGACAGGUGGUGCAUGGUUGUCGUCAGCUCGUGUCGUGAGAUGUUGGGUUAAGUCCCGCAACGAGCGCAACCCCUAUUGUUAGUUGCCAUCAUUCAGUUGGGCACUCUAGCGAGACUGCCGGUAAUAAACCGGAGGAAGGUGGGGAUGACGUCAAAUCAUCAUGCCCCUUAUGACCUGGGCUACACACGUGCUACAAUGGUUGGUACAACGAGUUGCGAGUCGGUGACGGCGAGCUAAUCUCUUAAAGCCAAUCUCAGUUCGGAUUGUAGGCUGCAACUCGCCUACAUGAAGUCGGAAUCGCUAGUAAUCGCGGAUCAGCACGCCGCGGUCGAAUACGUUCCCGGGCCUU